AGGUAAUUGGGAGGGGAGCUGGAGUCAGUUGGCUGUGCAGAGAAGAAGGAGGUAGUGCUGUGAGGAGACGCUCAUGAGAAAUGACCAAGAAGGGGAGUUCCUCUGGGAUUUGAUACAGCUACAUUUGAUAUUAUAAAGAAUUUUAAACUGGUAAUAAAUGUGUGCAUAUCUGUUCCUAAACAGCAGCAGUUUGGAACAGUUUUAUAUGCACACCAUGUAUUAACAGCCCCAGCAAGAAAGCUGAAGAAGCCAGAAGGAUGAACGAAACAUCCCAACAACUGCAAGCCUACAUGACUACUCCUUUGUUUGUUACACUCUAGAUUAUGUGCCCAGUGGCAUCAAUUCAACCCCCAGCCAUCCUGAAGAACGCCACCAGAACCGAAGAACUUCCAAGUCUGAGCUUCCAAGUCUCUCCCGAUGAACUCAGCAGUUCCCUCAGGUUGUGCUUAAAACGCCAAAGCCUCUGAGCGCCGGAGCCAUCCUGUCCCCUCCCUGCACCCUGCACAUCAGCAGCGCUACAGCUCCCGCAACAACUUCUCGGCAUCCCCACACCACCAGGAGACUCAGCCGCAGCCCUGUUCCGCCCAGCGGGAAGGUCCCAAGAAGCCCUGGGGGGAGGCAGGCAAAGAAAAACAGGGUCUGCCGGCAGAACAGUCCUGUUCCCCGUCUCCAGCGUGAAUGACGCAUCGAGAAGGGUUUUCCUGCCCUCUCGUGUAGCAGGCCGGAGGAGACGGCUGGAUUCUCUCCCACCAGAACCUGUGUGGCCUGAAGGAGAGGGUGAUCAGUCCUCACAGCUCAGUUUUGAGUUGUACCACUGAGCUAUGCCAAUGUGUUUUAGGAGAUCCUUGUGCUCAUAAAUGCUUUGAGUCUUUCAAAAUCCCCCAAAAUAGAUCUGACCUGUUACUGAGACCUUGCUCUAGCUUCUGUAGAAAUUUCCCUCCCAGACUAAACAUCACAUGCAGCAGCUGAAAAACAACAGCAUCCCUGAUGUACUGGGGAAGAGCUGGAACUUCUUGGUUCUGCACACAAAAUGAGCUAGCUGCACCCAAACUGCUCAUUACAGGCUCAGUCACAGAAGCUGCAUGAAUGACAGGCUGGAAACAGAGGAAAUUCCAUUUUAAUUGCAGAGGAAUCACCUUUGGCUAAAGUAGGGCACAGAGGUGCUCAAUAAACAGCAGAGUUAGAAGCAAUAUCAGCAUUUUCACAUUCUAUUUCUCCAAAGUGAAGAAAUAAAUAUGCUCUGUUAGUGAGGCUUUGAGGCUGAAUAUCUGAAGGUAGCAUUGAGCCUUAAAUUAACACACUGUUCAAGUAUUAAAAAAUUAUAUAGGAUUAAUUGAACAUGUGACCUGGGCUCCUUGGCCUUGAAGCAGCCCUCAGUUAAAUGGAACUCCUGGAAAGUGUUUGUUGUGAUGACUAAGAAGCACUCUCUGUGUACAGCGGGUAAACUCUUCAGUAGUAGAGGUGGCUCCUCUUCUGGCUGACUGUGAUUUCAUUUCUACUGACCUAUUUGGCAAAGGCUAUGAUGUGAUGAUUUCACAUCCAUACCACACUGGUAAAUAAAACUGCCAUUAUGGUAAUUUUUGAGGAUGCUCUACCUAAUUAUUGAUAUUCCACCUCUUGUUUUGGAGGAAUAUAAAGCAUUGCUUGAAAAAAACUUCUAGUAUUAUGAUGAUGACUUAGUGUUUACA